AUUAGUGAGUAGCUGCCCUCUGACCACUGCUCCCACCCCCUGCCUGUGCCCCCGGGUACCUAUACCGUCUGCACAGAACUUCUGGAUCAGGGAAGAAAGAAGGAAAAGCAGCAGGGAACUUCUUUCCAGGUCACAGACCCAGAUUUUGGUUUCUAGAGAGGAUUCUUCAAUGGAAGUAACCAGGGCUCUUUAGAAAAUGACCAAUUGCAGUACUAGGCAGGGAAGAUAACAAAGUGGCCAGGGCACCUUGUGUCUGGACUCGAGAGCCGACCUGCAGGAGGACUCAGAGAUCUACCUGCAAAGUUAUGAAGUUAAUACUGACAUUAUUAGUUGAGCUCAAAGACUUAAGAAGACCUAUGAGUCUAUCCUAAUACAAAUAGCUGAGAAGAGACGAAUCUUCCUUAUAGAAGAAUAAAAUAAUGUAUACAGGUACUCACUGCCCAGAAGUAGAGUUUGAUUCUUCUCUCCUUGAGUGUGGAUAGAAUACAACAACUCACUGCCAAGGAAUAGAAGUUUAAAACCAUAGCUUUGCUGUAAGGAAGCCUGGAGACACUGCCUCAGCGAAAAGUGAGGAAGGUUUGUGUCACCAGUUGGUAAAUCCUGCAGAUAUCAUACACCCCCAGUGGGAUGUGCAGGAGCACCUUGCCCCUGGGGAUCUUCCCUCAAAAAGCUCCAAUCCAGCCAGGUCGUGAGAAAACAUUAAGUCUCAGAUUGGGAGGUCUUCUCUGGGAUGCCUCUGGGUGCUCUUCCAAAGGAACCAGGCCUCAAAAAGCUGGGGGAAAACAGAGGAGCUGUCCCAACUUCAAGAAGAAGACCCAGCAUGAGCAAGUGCAAAGCAGGACCCUGCCUCAGUACCCGGGACAGAAGCAAAUAGCAUUUGUAGAAAAACUGCUAAAACUCAAAUAAAGGCUGUAGCAGAGUUAAUAGUA